rnacentral:rRNA from 1 species
GAACCGUACAAACGUUAUUCGGAAUCACUGGGCUUAAAGGGUGCGUAGGCGGCUCUGCAAGUUGGGUGUGAAAUCCCUCGGCUCAACCGAGGAAUUGCGCCCAAAACUGCCGGGCUCGAGGGAGACAGAGGUGAGCGGAACUUAGGGUGGAGCGGUGAAAUGCGUUGAUAUCCUAAGGAACACCGGUGGCGAAAGCGGCUCACUGGGUCUCUUCUGACGCUGAGGCACGAAAGCUAGGGGAGCGAACGGGGAUUAGAUACCCCGGUAGUCCUAGCCGUAAACGAUGAGCACUGGGUCGGAGGAUCCCUCCCAUAAUCUUCUGAUCGUAGCGAAAGUGUUAAGUGCUCCGCCUGGGGAUAUGGUCGCAAGGCUG